rnacentral:rRNA from 1 species
CAGUAGCCGCGGUAAUACGUAGGUGGCAAGCGUUAUCCGGAAUUAUUGGGCGUAAAGCGCGCGUAGGCGGUUUUUUAAGUCUGAUGUGAAAGCCCACGGCUCAACCGUGGAGGGUCAUUGGAAACUGGAAAAUUUGAGUGCAGAAGAGGAAAGUGGAAUUCCAUGUGUAGCGGUGAAAUGCGCAGAGAUAUGGAGGAACACCAGUGGCGAAGGCGACUUUCUGGUCUGUAACUGACGCUGAUGUGCGAAAGCGUGGGGAUCAAACAGGAUUAGAUACCCCAGUAGUCCCUGUCUCUUAUAC